CCUACGGGAGGCUGCAGUGGGGAAUAUUGGACAAUGGGCGAAAGCCUGAUCCAGCCAUGCCGCGUGUGUGAAGAAGGCCUUCGGGUUGUAAAGCACUUUCAGUGGGGAAGAAAGCCUUGGGGCUAAUACCCUCGAGGAAGGACAUCACCCACAGAAGAAGCACCGGCUAACUCCGUGCCAGCAGCCGCGGUAAUACGGAGGGUGCGAGCGUUAAUCGGAAUUACUGGGCGUAAAGCGCGCGUAGGCGGUCUGAUAAGCCGGUUGUGAAAGCCCCGGGCUCAACCUGGGAACGGCAUCCGGAACUGUCAGGCUAGAGGGCAGGAGAGGAAGGUAGAAUUCCCGGUGUAGCGGUGAAAUGCGUAGAGAUCGGGAGGAAUACCAGUGGCGAAGGCGGCCUUCUGGACUGACACUGACGCUGAGGUGCGAAAGCGUGGGUAGCGAACAGGAUUAGAUACCCGUGUAGUC
rnacentral:rRNA from 1 species